UCCGGUUGAUCCUGCCGGAGGUUACUGCUAUCGAGGUUCGACUAAGCCAUGCGAGUCGAAUGCCGCAAGGCAUGGCGUACUGCUCAGUAACACGUGGACAACCUACCCUUAGGUCGGGGAUAACCCCGGGAAACUGGGUAUAAUACCCGAUAGUCCUCGAAUGCUGGAAUGCACCGAGGACGAAAGCUCCGGUGCCUAAGGAUGGGUCUGCGGCCUAUCAGGUAGUAGUGGGUGUAGCGUACCUACUAGCCUACGACGGGUACGGGUUGUGAGAGCAAGAGCCCGGAGAUGGAUUCUGAGACACGAAUCCAGGCCCUACGGGGUGCAGCAGGCGCGAAAACUUUACAAUGCUGGCAACAGCGAUAAGGGAACCUCGAGUGCCAGGUUACAAAUCUGGCUGUCGAGAUGCCUAAAAAGCAUUUCAUAGCAAGGGCCGGGCAAGACCGGUGCCAGCCGCCGCGGUAACACCGGCGGCUCGAGUGGUAACCGUUAUUAUUGGGUCUAAAGGGUCUGUAGCCGGCCGGAUAAGUCUCUUGGGAAAUCUGGCAGCUCAACUGUCAGGCUAUCAGGAGAUACUGUCUGGUUCGAGGCCGGGAGAGGUGAGAGGUACUUCAGGGGUAGGGGUGAAAUCUUGUAAUCCUUGAAGGACCACCAGUGGCGAAGGCGUCUCACCAGAACGGACCUGACGGCAAGGGACGAAAGCUAGGGGCACGAACCGGAUUAGAUACCCGGGUAGUCCUAGCCGUAAACGAUACUCGCUAGGUGUCGGCCACGGUGCGACCGUGGUCGGUGCCGUAGGGAAGCCGUGAAGCGAGCCACCUGGGAAGUACGGCCGCAAGGCUGAAACUUAAAGGAAUUGGCGGGGGAGCACUACAACGGGUGGAGCCUGCGGUUUAAAUGGAUUCAACGCCGGAUCGGCGUUGAAUCCAUUUCCGGCAGGAUCAACCGGAA
rnacentral:rRNA from 1 species